CUCGGCCAGAGGCAGGCCGCGCACUGGCGCCCGCUCCCCGGGUACCCGCGGGGCCGGCGGGGCCGGCGGGUCCAGCCGGGAACCGAACCGGGGCCCGAAGCAGACUCCCGCCCGAGGAGAUAAAUCGCUCUCGGGACUCUGUGGCCUACUUAAUUCACUGAAUAAAACUGAGUCCUCCCCAGCUCCUGGUGACACCUGUCCUGCCGUCCCCGAGAACCGGCCUGUUCCAGGCACCUCAAAACCGUGUUUGCCCUGCGUCUGGCUCAUCUCAUUCAGCAUACGUUUUCAAAGUUCAUCCCUGUUGUAGCACGUAUCCGACGAAUUUCAUUGUUUUUAAGGCUGAAUAUUCCGUUUGAAUGGAACUGCUGGAUCACAUGGCAACUCUACGUUUAAUUUUUUGAAAACCACCAGUUUUCCACACUUACUGAACUGCUUUACAUUCCCACUAAGAAUGCUGGUAUCAUGUCCAUGAAGUUGUUGCCAAGUCCAAAAUCGUAAAAAUUUUCUCCAAAGUUUUCUUCUAAGGAUUUUACAGUUUUAGCUCUUCAGCUUGUCUCUGAUCCAUUUGGGACGUGCCUUGCACCAGAGUUGAUACUGAAAAAGUUCUGAUGGCCCUAGAGAAGCAGGAACCAAGAAAUGUUGACGUUUCAGGACUGUUUUUCUCUGAGUGACAGCCAGAAAUGUGUUGUGUUAUUGUCAGACUUGGAAAAGCUCAUGGAGAUUGCACAGCAAGUCACAAGCCCACACGGUCUAAAGCACACGACUGGAAAACCUCUAACGGCAGAAGUUGGAGACCUUUGAUGUGCCCCUCUCUAAACACAAAUCUGAUACAAACCUUAAAAACUCUUUUCAAAUCACAAAAUGUGUGGGUGUUUUGUUUUGUAUUGAAGCUUCAGUCAUUUGUAAGCAGAAUGCCUCAGAUGAUUGAUUUCCUAAUUGAGAAAGUUUCUCAGAGAUUUUUUACCUGUGCUUUCAUUUCUGGAUGCUAAAAAUGAACAAAAUCUUAGGCCCAAUAAAUAAUUCCAGCUCCCUCAUUACGCUGAGAAAUCUACAGGAAUUGAUUUGCUUAAGAUCAAAAAGCUAGUCGUUCACUGGCAGAGCCAGAGAACUCAAAUUUCCCUAUACCUGGUCCCCUGCUCGCUCUAAAAACCAUACUAUCUCCCUUGAACAAGACUUAAUAGAUGAUACAUAGCAUAUUGCAUUCAGUUGUGGGUGAGUCAUUUUAUAAGGAAUGUUGACAAACUACAGCAUGUUUAAAGAUGGGAAAGCAGGAAUGUUAAAGAGCUUAGGAUUUAAAUAAUAUCUUAAAAAAGAGGCCGGGGUGGGGAGCUGGGGAGGUGUAGUACCUAAUUUGUAGAAGAAAAGGCUAAGAGGAGUAUGCUGGCUCAUUUCAAAGAUGUGAGAGACUCUUGUAGUGGAAUAAGCCAUUUCUUCAUGCUUUUAUAGUCAUGGUUUCAGAGCGCAGAACCAGGACUAAAGAAUUAGGGUUGCUGUUGAUUGAGAAAUAGAGUUCAAUUAUAAAGAAUGAUAUGAAAAAGGCCUCCUCAUUGUUUCUUAUCAAAUAUAUUGAUAAAUGAUCUAUAUACAAAACUGCAUUCAUUUAAAAUGUACAGUUGAAUGAGUUGUGACAGUUGUAUACAGCUGUGAAAUCAACAUCGUAAUAAAAAAUACAGAACAUUUCCAGCAUCCCCAAGAUUCCUCCUUCUCUUUGUCCUCAGUCACAGGCAACCACUGGUCUGCUUUUUUUUUUUUUUUUUUUACUGUAGUUUUCAUUUUAUAUAAAUGGAAUCAUACAUCAUGCACUUUUUUGUGUCUGGUUUCUUUUACUCAGUGAAUUGGUUUUAAAUUCAUCCUGAUUGUUUUGUGUGUUGGUAGUUUAUUCCCUUUAUGUGCUGAGUAGUAUUCCAUCACAUAGACACACCACAUUCUGCUUAUCCAUUCACCAGUUGAACAUUUGGGUUGUUUCCAAUAUGGAUUAUUGUAAAAAAGUUGCUAUGAACGUUUGUGCAAAAGCUUUUAUGCAGACACAUGUCUUCAUUUCUGGGAGCAGAAUUAAUGCAUUGUAUGGUAGAUGUAUGUUUAACUUCUUAAGAAAGUUCCAUAUUGUUUUCCAAACUGGUUUUACUGUUUAACAUUUCCACCAGCAGUGUAUGAGAGUUUCAGUUAAUCUACAUCUUUGUCAACAAUCAUUAUUGUUAGCCUUUUUCACCUACCCUUUCUUAUGGGAGUAAUGAUAUCUUGUUUUAAUUUUACAAGUGGUUUUAGUUUCACUGAGGACUAAUGAAGUUGAGCAUCUUUUUGUGUACACAAACUAGGUAUCUUUUUUGAGAUGUUAUUGAGUUAUUUGUCUUAUUGCUGAAUUGAAGAAAUCUUUAUUCUGAAUAUCAGUCAGUCCUUUGUCAGAUACAUGAUAGAGAAUAUUUUCUCCUAUUCUGUGGUUUGCCUUUUCAUUUUCUCAACAUUUUCUUUCCAAGAGAAAAUAUUUCAUUUUGUGAAGUCCAAUUUAUACUUUUUUAAAUGAGUCAUGCCUUUUGUGUCCUAAGAAAUCUUUGCCUACCCAAGUCAGCAAAGAUUCUUUUCCGAUUUCGUUUUGUAAUAGUUUUAGGUUUAGGUUUUACCUUUAGGUUUACCAUGCAUUUCAGUUAAUUUUGGGUAUUGUGUGAAGUAAGGAUUGAUGUUCUUCAGCUCCCCCCUCAUAUGGACAUCCAGUUUUUCCAGCAGUGUUUGUUGAUUUUUCCUUUCUCCAUUGAAUUGCCUUGGCGACUUUGCUGGAAGUCAAUUAACUGUAUACGUAUGGUUCUAGUUCUGUACUAAUUUCAUUAGUAAUAUAAUAUCAUUAACAUAGUACAUAUUACAUAUAAAUAUAAUAAAAUAUUUUACUUUAUUUGCA